rnacentral:rRNA from 1 species
AUUGAACGCUGGCGGCAGGCCUAACACAUGCAAGUCGAGCGGAUGAAGGGAGCUUGCUCCUGGAUUCAGCGGCGGACGGGUGAGUAAUGCCUAGGAAUCUGCCUGGUAGUGGGGGAUAACGUCCGGAAACGGGAGCUAAUACCGCAUACGUCCUGAGGGAGAAAGUGGGGGAUCUUCGGACCUCACGCUAUCAGAUGAGCCUAGGUCGGAUUAGCUAGUUGGUGGGGUAAAGGCCUACCAAGGCGACGAUCCGUAACUGGUCUGAGAGGAUGAUCAGUCACACUGGAACUGAGACACGGUCCAGACUCCUACGGGAGGCAGCAGUGGGGAAUAUUGGACAAUGGGCGAAAGCCUGAUCCAGCCAUGCCGCGUGUGUGAAGAAGGUCUUCGGAUUGUAAAGCUCUUUAAGUUGGGAGGAAGGGCAGUAAGUUAAUACCUUGCUGUUUUGACGGUACCAACAGAAUAAGCACCGGCUAACUUCGUG